UAGCAAGUUUUCAAGCAAGCAUUUUUUAAGAAGGAGAAUUUCAAGCAGGAGCACUUUUAAAUAAAUCUUUUAUCGUUCUUUUGAGGUUCAUUGCAAGGAAUUUAACUCCAAGUGAGUUAAUAUUAUCAUACGGAGUAAGAAGCAUACGAGGUUGAGCUGUGAUGGAGUGGAGGGUGCUAAUUAAACCAGACCUACUUCUAUUUCCAUUCAAUACUCUCGGAGGUCCGUGUCUUCAUACAUGGAACCGCGUUCAGUUCCUUCCGCUUUGCAUUGAAACAAG